UGGGGAAUUUUGGACAAUUGGGGAAACCCUGAUCCAGCCAUCCCGCGUGUGCGAUGAAGGCCUUCGGGUUGUAAAGCACUUUUGGCAGGAAAGAAACGUCAUGGGUUAAUACCCCGUGAAACUGACGGUACCUGCAGAAUAAGCACCGGCUAACUACGUGCCAGCAGCCGCGGUAAUACGUAGGGUGCAAGCGUUAAUCGGAAUUACUGGGCGUAAAGCGUGCGCAGGCGGUUCGGAAAGAAAGAUGUGAAAUCCCAGAGCUCAACUUUGGAACUGCAUUUUUAACUACCGGGCUAGAGUGUGUCAGAGGGAGGUGGAAUUCCGCGUGUAGCAGUGAAAUGCGUAGAUAUGCGGAGGAACCCCGAUGGCGAAGGCAGCCUCCUGGGAUAACACUGACGCUCAUGAACGAAAGCGUGGGGAGCAAACAGG
rnacentral:rRNA from 1 species